CUAAGGAAACCAAUAAAAUCAAUCAUCUUCAGUUUUGAAAGACUUAGGAUAACUAAGUUUUUCUUCGUGACUUCACGAAGGGCCUAUAGCUCAGUUGGUUAGAGCACACGCCUGAUAAGCGUGAGGUCGGUGGUUCGAGUCCAUUUAGGCCCACC
rnacentral:tRNA from 1 species